UAAGUUUGGAGCUGCUUCACCUUUGCUCUGACUGCGUCUUCAUCCGAAGUUAUGCAUGGUUCAGUACUUGUGGCUGCAGUUUCCUGAUGAUCCUUCUCUAACCUUGGUUCUUCACCCCUCUGAACUUCAGUAUCAAAGGGAUUUUCAAUAAUCAAUGACGCAGCCCAAUCAUCGCAUUCAGUUCGUCCGUGCAAAGAUUCCAAGUCGAUAGAUUUAUCAGGCUCUUCACCAUUCUGAACCUCGGCAUUGGAAAGAUCUGCAUUUGGCACUGCAUCAACCCCAUUCAUCCUCUUUAGUUGUUCUAAGUGAAGAUUUCAAUUCGAUAGAUUUAUCAGUGAGACUGUUUUCCAGUGAGAAGUCCUUACCAUACGAACUCCCAAUAUUCGUAGACUGACGUAUGGAGGGUGAUUCUAGCUCACGCUGAAGCAGCUGCAUGAACUGAGGCCAAGAAAUAGUGUGCAGUUCCGGUGAUAUCCCUUCAGGCUGUACUUGCAAGUAAACGAGUAGUCACCAACACAUUCUACGCGCUCUGAUAUUAAGUGCAUAAACAGAACAUUUAUUCCUCCACACCUCAUCAUUAAAUUGAUUAAACCAUUCCUCAGCUUCCAGUAGGGUGAAUUUCCCAUCCUCUGAUCCUGUCGUUGAAUUGUCAGCCUUUUCAUCUUGUUUGCGCAUUAAGUGACACAGAACAUUAUUUCCACCCUGCUGUCAAAAGACCGUGUUAUAUCAAUUCCCACCAUAGUUCUCAGAUCUUCUUCAAAAGUAAGAAACUGCUCUCAGAUUCGGCAAAAAUAAUAUCAUUCUCUACAUAUGUGUAAGAUUCAAAUCUUCUGUAGCAGAAACUGAGCACAAAAAUGUUUCUCUGCUUGUUUAGGACUAUUGGAAACUUUAUAAUCUAGUGUUUCUGCAGAUAAUUGUUGCUACACUUCUCAUGCGAUACGUUAUCAAAUUCAUGCAUCUUCUGAAUCUAAUUAAUUGCUACGAAUAAAUGAGGAUUACAUUGGGUGGAUGCCUUCAGGGAAGCUUAAUAUUUUCUUGAAACCUAUCCUUUUGCCGUCAAUUGCAAUAUCUCUAGGUUUACCAGUAAUACCCCAAGAAGAACCGCAUGGUGUUAUCCUGGGAAUCCGGGGCUUCGGCGUCUGUGGACAGAUGAACCACCAUUCUCAAUCAUUGGACGGAAUGAUCGAAUUCUUUGCGAUGCACAUUUAAGAAACUCACUUUGAGUCAUGAGUAAAGGGGGCUAUUGCUCUCUUCCCGAGUCUCUCUCUUUGAAGUUGCGAACGACUCACCCGUGAACUUCGCAGGUAAAUCCUCUGGAUUGAAGUCGGUGAUGUUUUCCAGUUUCGGAAUGAUGCAGAAAUCUUCUGUGCUUCCGGGUUUCUCCGUCUUCAAGUGAUUAAUCAGCUGCCGCUCGGUUGGACUGAACCGGAAACCGUCUAUUGCCUGCUGAAAUAGCAGCAGGACAGCUUGGUGUUCUUGCGAGCCUCGUUGCUACUUUGGCGUAGCACAGUGGUCCUACCUGUCUCUUGUCCACUAUAGCUACUCCUCGUCCUUGGAUUAUUGAUUUGGGUACCACUCAUCAUAUGACUGGUGUUCCGUGUCUUCUUAAUUUCACCUCAUUUGUUCCAUCCACUUUAAUCACUUUGGCAGAUGGUUCUCAGUCCAAGGUGAAAGGUUCAGGUUGCGCAUCAUUGACUUCUUCCGUGUCCUUACUGAUUGUUUACCAUAUUUCAUGCUUCCCUCAUAAUCUAUUAUUUGUCAGCUCUAUUACCUGUGAUCUUGACUAUGAUAUUAUCUUUCCUUUUGCUUUGUGUGUUUUUUAGGAUCGGAAGACUGACGUUGAAUAGGUGCUAGGCGUAAGGCUAGUGGAUUGUACCUUCUGGACCUUGAGAUUAUUGUUGCUGCCACUAUUGUCACCUCGGUCGCCCCUCAACAGAUGUACUUCGACAUUUUCCUUUUAUGUCUAGUUUUAGUCUGCAGUUUGAUUGUAAAACAUGUUAGUUGGGUAAGCACCAACGUGCGCCCCCCUCCCCCCAGGUCUUAGCCAUUCGUCUUAGCCAUUCGAGCUAGUGCACUCCAAUUUUUGGAGUCCUGGUCAAGAGUAUUCGUUUGGUUUAUGCUAUUUUGUCACAUUUAUUGAUGAUUGUAGUUGCACAACUUGGCUAUACUUUUUUUGGGUAAAGAUGAUACUGAAAUGUUUCAUUCUUUACGCCUUUGUAUACCAAGGUUACCUUUUUCAGGUAAGAGGUGUAACUAUAGUGUUAUUGGGUCUAUCAAAUUCAAUAUCGGCAGUGCAUUCAUUACUAAAAACCAAAUAGGAUUUUGGAAGUAUUAUGGACUUGAACUUUACUUCUAGGAAAUAACGUGCCUACUGUGGAGUUAGCUAAGACCAAUCAAUAUCUUAGUGAUGACAAAAUUACAUGCCCUACAUUAAUAUUCUUCUUAAGUGCCGGAGUCUUGCGUCAUCAUUAUUGUCCUUUUGCUUUUCUCGAAGGAUGGUCCCAUAUGCUUAAUCUAAUGAAACUUCACAACUCGAGUAUUAGUUCUUGGAAAAAAGUAUACUGAAAAUCCUAAAAUUGAUUAAGAAAAAAUGAUUGAGUUUUAAAACUUUUUAAAAAGUGCAGUUAAAUCUCAAAACUUGUCAUGAAAAUGUAAUUGAAUCUUAAAACUUUCAAAAAAUAUAAUCAUGUCACAAAAAUUCAAUUGGGUCCUCAAAAUUGUAAAAAAUGCGAUAAAGCAGCACUCCCCCCUCUCUUUCCGGAGGGGAGCCCCUUUCAUUUUCCUGUACCUUGACCCGGUAUUUUACGGGGAUCAGGCGUGCGGGAAUCCAAGGUGGGUUGCUUACCCUCAACCUCAUUUUCUGGGGUAUUUUGGGUUGUGCUGCAGAGCCCAGUAGAGAGGGGUUUUAGGAGAACCCCUCUCAAGAAAUCAUGUGAGCAAUUUAAGAACCUGCUCAGGUCCUAGAAGAGGUUGCGUCGUCAUUAUUGUCCUUUUGCUUUUCUCGAAGGAUGGUCCCAUAUGCUUAAUCUAAUGAAACUUCAACUCGAGUAUUAGUUCUUGGAAAAAAGUAUACUGAAAAUCCUAAAAUUGAUUAAGAAAAAAUGAUUGAGUUUUAAAACUUUUUAAAAAGUGCAGUUAAAUCUCAAAACUUGUCAUGAAAAUGUAAUUGAAUCUUAAAACUUUCAAAAAAUAUAAUCAUGUCACAAAAAUUCAAUUGGGUCCUCAAAAUUGUAAAAAAUGCGAUAAAACAGCACUCCCCCCUCUCUUUCCGGAGGGGAGCCCCUUUCAUUUUCCUGUACCUUGACCCGGUAUUUUACGGGGAUUAGGCGUGCGGGAAUCCAAGGUGGGUUGCUUACCCUCAACCUCAUUUUCUGGGGUAUUUUGGGUUGUGUUGCAGAGCCCAGUAGAGAGGGGUUUUGAGAGAACCCCUCUCAAGAAAUCAUGUGAGCAAUUUAAGGACCUGCUUAGGUCCUAAAAGAGGUUGUGUCAUCAUUAUUGUCGUUUUGCUUUUCUCGAAGGAUGGUCCCAUAUGCUUAAUCUAAUGAAACUUCACAACUCGAGUAUUAGUUCUUGGAAAAAAGUAUAUUGAAAAUCCUAAAAUUGAUUAAGAAAAAAUUAUUGAGUUUUAAAACUUUUUAAAAAGUGCAAUUAAUCUCAAAGCUUGUCAUGAAAAUGUAAUUGAAUCUUAAAAUUUUCAAAAAAUAUAAUCAUGUCACAAAAAUUCAAUUGGGUCCUCAAAAUUGUAAAAAAAUGCAAUAAAGCAACACUCCCCCCCUCUGUUUCCAGAGGGGAGCCCCUUUCAUUUUCUUAUACCUUGACCCGAUAUUUUACGGGGAUGAGGCGUCACGGGAAUCUAGGGUGGGUUGCUUACCCUCAACCUCAUUUUCUAGGGUAUUUUGGGUUGUGUUGCAGAGCCCAGUGGAGAGGGGUUUUGGGAGAACCUCUCUCAAGAAACCAUGUGAGCAGUUUAAGGACCUGCUCAGGUCCUAAAAGAGGUUGCGUCAUCAUUAUUGUCCUUUUGCUUUUCUUGAAGGAUGGUCCCAUAUGCUUAAUCUAAUGAAACUUCACAACUCGAGUAUUAGUUCUUGGAAAAAAGUAUACUUAAAAUCUUAAAAUUGAUUAAGAAAAAAUGAUUGAGUUCUAAAACUUUUUAAAAAGUGCAAUUAAAUCUCAAAGCUUGUCAUGAAAAUGUAAUUGAAUCUUAAAAUUUUCAAAAAAUAUAAUCAUGUCACAAAAAUUCAAUUGGGUCCUCAAAAUUGUAAAAAAUGCGAUAAAAUCCUAAAAUUUGUUAGCAUUUUCCAUUUAUCAAGUCAAACAUCAAAGCUAAGUUCACACAAUUAUCCAAAUUAGGCUAAAUUUAGAGGUAGUUUGGGAACCAUAAACGUGUGAGACAAGGUUAAUGUGUAUAUUGAAAUGUUUUAUGUAUGGCUAACUCUUAUUUGGCGAUUAUCAGUUGAGUUAAUGGUAAGGGCAUGCAAAUUGAAUGAUUUUGACUAAAAGAAAAUAGAAUUUAAAGUUAUAUGAUUGUAGAAGGUGGAGUAAAGAAAACAUGAUUCGGAAAUAAAUGAAGCAAUCGACAUAAUAGAAGGAAGGGAGGACUUAGAAAUACUACGAGAAUGAAAUGAGGAUCCUCUAAUGAGAGAGUGACAGACAAUCUAAUGGGAGAAGCCUUGUCCAUAGAAGUGGCAGCAAAUGAACUUGCAUGUGGAACACAGUUUCGCAGUUGAUUGGCCUUCCUUAUAAGUUGCUUAGGUUGUAGUUGAUGACAAUUGGAUAUUGAAACUUCUGAUUUAUCUAUAAUAUGCAUUUUAUAAGUGUCGACAUAGUUGAUUGGACAAUACAUGCUAACUCAAACCAGUACUUGGAGAGUCAAUAUGGAGAAAAUAAGGCCCACAAAUGGACUCAACACGUCGAAGUACCUUGGAAACCAGUCUAUGAUCGCCAAGAACUAGUUGAAAAGUGCAUUGGAACCGGUCGGACCGGAACUAAACCGGUCAAUAGUCAAUAAUCAGUUAAUGGUCAAUGGUCAGCUACGGAUGUGGUGAGAUGACACGACUGGAACGUGCACGUGGAUCGCACGUGAGUGACAUCAGAGCGGCAGGCACUUUUGGCACGUGUAACGCGUGGAUGUCAACUGCAAUGGUGCGUGAUGGCGGGUGUGGGCAUGUGUGGCAGAGUUUGGCCGUAUGGUUUCCGGCGGCGGACUCGUCCUAGGAUGGGAAGGUCGAUGAUGUUGUUUAUUUGCUGAACAAGCCACCAAUAGAGUUGGAGCAGCACUCAAAAGUGUAAGCUCAUCGGAGGCGCUCGACUCUUACUCAAAGUAGCAAGGGUGGCACAAGAUAGUUAAUGCGAAAUCACUAGAGAAAUAAAUAAGAAUAAUAAAUGACACAAGAUAUUUUUGUGAUUUAGUCCGAGUAUCAAUAUUUGCAUAUACAAGGAAAGUUAGUAGAAAAUAAUCAAUUAUAAUCGAAAAAUCAGAAUUAUAAUUACUCUUACGCUUAAGUGUUUGCACAUUUAAAUUAAGCAUAAACCCAAAGCAUUUAUAAAUAAACAAUUCAAUUGGAUAUAAAACACAUUAAAACAAAUCAUUAUAACUACGUUUGAUCGUUCGGGCAUUUUCGUUGGAUAGGAUAAUGUCAAAUAGCAUAAGAAUAGAUUAUGAUUUGAAAUAUCCUAUCUAAUGUUCGUUGAUGUUUGUAUAUAACAUGGAUUCAAAUAAAUAUCAUCUAAAUAAACAUUUGAUUUGCAUAAUUAAAAUUUUAAACAAACCAUGGAAAUAAAACAAACCCUCUUCCUCGUGAAGAAGAGGAGGAGGCCGUCGUUGCUCAACUCAGCUUUUCCACAGAGAAAGCAAUACUCUAAAAAAUAGGCAGAAAAAUUGCUGGGAAGUGAGGUCAACCCAAAAUCUAAGGCAACGCCUAAGCUUUUUGCCUACUCCUUUCUAUUUUCCCCGGCUUUUCUCAAUUUUUAUAUCUCCACGAGCAACCGUGAAGAGGUGGCUCGGCCAUGGAUGGCCCAACGACUGCGAGCCGCCGUGACUAGAUAGUGGCUCCGCCAUGGACCCUCGCUCCAAAUCUCGCCUCGUCGAUCAUGAACCGGCGGCGUCCCUAGUCAGAUCUCCUCAGAUCCGUCUUCCCGAGGUCACGAUGGCUUCAGCUAGAUCUGAACUGUAGCAACGAAGGGAGAAGAGGAGAAAGAGAAAAAAAAUUAUUUUUUAAAUUUCACAUAUUUUAUCAGGUCUAUCCCAUCAUCUGGGUGGAAUUUUUUUAUUCAGAUUAUAUUCAAGCUAAGUCUAGAUUUCGCCUCAUUCUCAAUAUCAGAUAAAAUAAAAGUUAUCCUAUCCGAAUUUUUGUCUGACCUACCAAAUAUAGCCAGAUGUUUACGCCCAAGCAGCGCUUUUCCUUUUGCUCCUCACUUCGUGCAGCUCCCAAAAACAAAAGCUGCUGUACGGCCUUCAAAGAUAACAAAUAUAUAUAUAUAUAUAUAUAUCCUUUUUCACGGUCAAAACCCUCGUGCCCCGAAGACCACGGAGCAUCAACUUCCCCACUAUAAUUCAAUUCUUUUCUGACACACAUGCUGGACUCCGCAAACUAAUGUAUAGUAUAUAAAUAAUAUGGGGCCAACAAUCGAAGUCGAUCAAAUUUAAUAAGAAAAAUUCCUUAUGUGAUUUCUUGUAGGAAUCCCAACGGAGGCUAGUAGCAAUUUAUUUCCUAUUCCCACCGACCAAAUUCCAUCGGCCAUCGGAACUUUUCAAGGUAACACCCGGUCGAAGUUGUUUGCAAGAUUAAAUUUGAGACAUAAUUUAACACUAGAGGCGAUGAGUCUAGUUGUUAUGUUAAUUUGUUGAAACAAGCAACGAAAAGAGUCGGCACAGUACUCGAUCGCCAAAUCUGGCAGAAAAUGGACAUGAGGGUGGCUGUCAUAAUGUUGCUACAACCAUUAUCUUAUAAAGACUCAAUCGCUGCUUCCUCGUACAAUAAUCGCUUGUUAUCAAAUUGAGAAUAAUAAAGUGAAAAAGAGAAUUAUUGAAUUUUUUUAUAUAUGUCGAUAUAUGUUGAAAAACAAAACAUGUACAGAUUCUACAUAAAAUAGUAACCUAUCACUUACCAUAUGUUAGGAUGAAUCAAGAGUAAUCUCCUAAUUAUAUAUGUAUCUCUAAAAGUGGCGAUCAACAGGAAAAUCUCAAUAAGCAAGUUUACAAGAUUAAGCAGUAGGAAAUUUGUGAACUUUUUGUGCUCUUGGUGGUUGGUCUGGUCAACGCAGUCACUGAAUUUUAUUUUCCUCAGACACGUCCAAUCUCCUCCUCUUGGGUGAAUUACCAGCUAAAUUGUGCUCUUCGUGUUCUAGUCCCUGCCACCAUAGUGUUUCGAAUAGUGAGCUGAUAGGGAAAAAGAAAGAAAGGAUUAACAGGGGAGAGAAAAAUGGAGAAUUUACCUAGUUCUACAUAUGACACUCCGAAAAAUACGGAACCUCGCUAAUCAAACUAAAUGGUCCAACAGUGGACAUCAAGACAAGAAGAGAAUGGCAAUACGAAAUCCACUAAACUGGGAGCUUCUUUCACCUUUUCUUGAUCUGCAGGUUGAUGGAAAAAAUCCCCAAAUUCGCUAAAGUCCAAAAAACCUGAGCUGUGGAGUGGACUCGAUGGGAUGCCUUCCGUUUCCUCAGGAGGAAAAACACAAUUGAGUGGUUCGACUUUACUUCGGCGAUUCUCCGUUAUAAAUAAUUGGCCAUCCUGCAGCAAAGCAUUGCAUAAGAUCAAAUGCAUCAACGGAAAUAACUGAGGCACUAUCUCUAUCUCUAUCUCAUAAAAAAAAAAAAAAUUCAUGUUUUUGUUCUCAAAUUGUCUGGAAGCGUUGAUCACAUAAUCAGCCUCUUAGUAAUCUGCUUCAACCUUGUACAAGAUCUCAGCCGCAAUUUUUUUAACUAUAUUUUCUGCUCCGUAAUUCUUCAUCAUUCUUCUUAUUAUUUGAAUCAAAUUUAUAAUGCACGAGCGUUUCAGAGUGAAAUUUCACUUCCUUUUCGUAGAGGACUGAUAGAAUCCACUUGAUGUUUUCUCAAAGCGGAUUUGAACAAAAUAAACCGUUUUCCAAAGUGUCUGUGAAUCACAUCCAAUUAACUUCCCAAGCAAUGCACGUCAACAUAAAAGAAUAGUAUUAAGAUGAAAUGGGUAAGUUUAGGAGCUGCUUUCACCUUUGCACUGGCUGCUGCUUCAUCUUCGAUAUUUCUGGCUGCAGUUUCCUGCUGAACCUUUUCGAACCUUGGCUCCUCACCUUUCUGUACCUUGGCAUGGGAAAACUCUGCAUCUGGCAUUGCAUCAACCCAUUCAUCCUCAUUAGUUGUUCCGAGCAAAGAUUUCAAUUCAAUAGGUUUAUCAGUAAGACUGUCGUCCAAUGAGAAGUCCUUACCAGAGGAAUUUCCAACAUUCGUAAAGUGAUGUGUGGUGGAGGAAGAGCUAUUAUUUGGUGAUUGUAGCCCACGCGGAAGCAGCUGCAGGAGGUGAGACAAAAACAAUUGACACGGUUCUCCAUCAGUAACUUCAUCUUUUUUUGGAUCUCAUCCAGUAUUUACAAGUAAUAAGACGCAAUGGGUAAGUUUAGGAGCUGCUGUCACCUGUGCUCCUGCUGCUGCUUCAUCUUCGAUAUUUCUGGCUCCAGUUUCCUGCUGAACCAUUUCGAACCUUGGCUCUUCACCUCUCUGUACCUUGGCACAGGAAAGAUCUGCAUCUGGCAUUGCAUCAACCCAUUCAUCCUCUUUAGUUGUUUUGAGUGAAGAGCUAUUUUUUGGUGAUUGUAGCCCAUGCUGAGGCAGCUGCAGGCGGUGAGACAAGAGCAAUUGAACAAAAUUCUCCAUGAGUAACUUCAUCUUUUCUUGGAUCUCUCAAAUUCGGCAAAAAUAAUAUCAUUCUCUACAUAUGUAUAAGAUUUCAAUCUUCUGAAGCAGAAACUGAGCACAAAAAUGUUCCUCUGCUUGUUUAGGACUAUUGGAAACUUUAAAAUCUAGUGUUUCUGCAGAUAAUUGUUGCUACACUGCUCAUGUGAUACGUCAUCAAAUUCAUGCAUCUUCUGAAUCUAAUUAAUUGCGACAAAUAAGAGGUUUACAUUGGGUAAAUCUUGGGGUAGAUGAUAUUCAUGGAUGAUCCAGUCCUUCUUGGCUUUGCCUUCAGGGAAGCUUAAUAUUUUCUUGAAACCUAUCUUUUUGCCACCAAUUGUAAUAUCUCUAGGCUGACCGGUGAUACCCCAAGAAGAACCGCAAGGUGUUUUCCUGCGAACCCGAACCCGUUGGUUCUGCGUCUGUGGACUGAUGAACCACCAUUCUCGAUCAUUGGACGGAAUGAUGGAUUUCUCUGCCAAGCACAUUUAAGAAACUCACUUUGAGUCAUGAGUAAACGGGGCUAUUGCUCUCUUCCCGAGUCUCUCUCUUUGAAUUUGCGAACGACUCACCCGUGAACUUCGCAGGUAAAUCCUUUGGAUUGAAGUCGGUGAUGUUUUCCAGUGUCGGAAUGAUGCAGAAACCUUCUCUGCGUCCGGGUUCUUUCGACUUCAAGUGAUUAAUCAGCUGCUGCUCUGUUGGAUUGAACCGGAACCCGUCUGUUGUCUUCUGAAGUAGCAGCACGAUCUGCGUGACAAGAAACUCCCUCGAACAGAUCCAGCCUGCCAUGUCUCCUUUUCUUCCGACACAUUAGCUAGCGAAGUUCAGAGCUAGCGGAGUGAGAACUCAGCGAAGUGAGGAUUUUUAUCUCUCGCGGGAGAGUGAGCGGGUGUGAGCGGGGCAACAGGGUGUGCGAUUAACGGUGAAAGCGGGUCCCACGUUGACCCUUCGGCCCCAAGGGUCAACAGCGGGUCGACUGCCUUCACAAGGGAUUAAUACAGUUAAGCAGCAAUUGAAUCAGCAAAAGUAGCAAAAGCACUUUAAGGAGCAGGAGGCGAAGAAGAUGCCAUAGAGUCUGCUGUUAGGACAAAGAUGGUGAUGUGUGAUUUAUAGAAAUAAUCCUCUAUGCUCGAUCGGUUUCUUAGUAUGAUUUCAGCCGUCUAAUUGGGCGUGACGGCUGAUGAUCAUGUAAUAAUUACAAUCAUUUACAAUCUGAAAAUCGUUAGCUUUCUAUGGAAAUUCUGCACUUCUUAAACUAGCCAUUGCCAGGCCAGCUACGUCCAUAUGUAUAUUUAUAUUUUUUGGAAAUUAAGGAAACAAAAUGAUUAAUAAUAGAAGUGGCUCAUUAAAAAACAGAUUACACGGCUUAUAUAUUUUUAUAUGAUGUACAUGUUUAAUGAUAAUCGACGAGAUUCUCUAUGUGUCAAUCCGAAUUAUAUGCUAAAUAUUACUUAGCUUUAAUAUUAUCCAAUACUCAAAUUUCCGAAUGUCACUGUCCCAAGCCUUAAUAACAAGUCACUGUUUAUUUUGCAUUAGCUCCAGUUCUUUCCAUUCUUGUAUUUUAUUUGCUUUGAUAUUAUUUGAUUAUGUAUAUGUGCCUGUUUGGAUGAUUCGCCCAUGGUCAUCUAUUUGGCAUAAUCUAGAUGAUAAUAUAGGCAACAACAAAAUUGAGAAGAAUGCAUGAAUAAUUAUUUGGGAAAAUAAAACAAAUAGUUCUUAAACUUUUGUCCAAUAGAAAAUAUUAUUAUUUGAUUUUGCAUACAUUUAAUGUGGCCCUUAAACUAUUUCUAAAUUGUUAAUAUACUUUUUAAACUUUUAACAUGUUCAUUUUAGUAUCUCAACCUUUCAUAACAAAGUUAAAUUAGUUCUAUGGUACUAUUCACAAGUUUUUAUGAUUAUAUUCUUACCCAGAUUUUAGAAUUGUUUUCAUUUUAAUCAAUUUCCUAAAUCAGAAAGAUAUAUGCUAUCUUUUUAUUAUCUUUUUACUAUUUGGUCUUUAUAAAUAUUAUUAUAGUUCUAUUUGAGUAUACUUUAACUUAUGAAAGCAAAAAUAUAACUCAUUUAAGUUAUAUCGGAUCAUAUUCCUCUUAUUCUAAAAAUAAGUGUUUUUAUAAGAGUAUUUAAUAUUGAUAUUAUUCUAUCUAUAUAUGUACUUACAUUAAUCUAAAUAUUGUUUAUAGAUACGUAGAAUUUUCAAUUUUUUUUUGUUUUUUUAUUUAAAUUUAGUUGAAAUUGUAAAUUAGAAAAUUAAAUUGACUUGAUACAACACUAAAUGAGGUUCUAUUUUUACUAAUGGAUAGAUCAUAAGUUGAAAUACACUUAAAUGGAACUUCAUAACGGUUAUAAAGACCAAAAAAUUAACAAAGUAAUAAAAAGAUAGUGAUAUUUUUUUGUUAAUCUAUGAAAUGGACUGCAAUAAAAAGAUGUUCUUAAAUAUAGGCAAUGGUAUACUUUUUGAAAACUUUUGUCUUUUUUAAUGGAAAGUUGAGGGUCUAUAUUAAACAAAUUGAAAUUUAUAGACUAGAUUAAAUAUUAUGAAUAGUUCAAGGACCACAUAAAAUAUAUUAUAAGUUCAAGAAUGACAUUGUACGUUGGGCCAAAGUGAAGAGACCAUUUUGGUCAUUUUCUCUUAUCCUUUUCAUAAAAGGGGAAAAAAAAAAACCUCAUGGGAGUUAUUAAAAUUAGCAUAAUCAAAUUCACAAACUCAUAAAUCUCUAGUUGGCACAAGUAAGAUGGACUUUACUUGGCCCAUAAUCGAUCCACAAUAAAUAAUUAGCAAUUCCUAAAGCAAAAACAAAUAAAAAAAAUUAUUGAGAAAUUAAGUUGUGAUUGACAAAGCCGUGCAAAGUGUCCCGACCUACUCCUCGGUAGGGGGAAAUCAUAUUUUUAGGGUAUUGUCUAAAGGACGGGACUACGGUCUACGAUUUAGACAUGAGCUUUCCCAAACUCAUAUCCUGCGUGACGUUAAGUAUUCAAAUUGAUGUUAUGAGAAUUUUCUAAAAAUGAGUAAUCACUAAUCUAUUGGGAUUGGCUAGAAACUAAGUGAAGCAUAGAAGUGUGCUUUUACUUCCCAUGUAAUAGGAGAAUCUAGGGUUGAGGACUUGAUUGCACUAAUUAAUUAAUUAGUGCUAUUUUAGUACCUAAUAUAUUCAUUUCAAAAAAAAAUUGUUAUGUACUUUGGAUUGAUUUUAAAUCUAUUCACUAACAUGUGAGGUGAUCAUACGGGUGCGUACUCUUUACAACAACAAUUAGCAGUCAAGGAAAGUAUUAAAUAAAUUGCAAGACAAAGUAAAGGUCUAAAACUAAGGGAAAAAAAUCAUUUAUAACUAGGCUUUGGGAAAAACAUGAUCAAUGUAAUGAAAGUGCUCAAUCAAUUGAUAAUUCACCCCAAAAAGGGAAUAUUGAAAGCCUACCAUAAAGCCAUAAGAGUUUGUUCAAAUUGAGCACGAUUUUUACCAAGGAUUAUUGCAUAUUAAAAAGAAAACUACUCAAAAAGACUUUUUUUUCCGAGAAAUUAAAAUUUUUGAAAGUUUUUCUUGGGUUGUUAAGAAUUUUUAGGUUUUUUUAAAUAUUUUAAAUAUUUUUUAUGAAUUUUCUAAAACAGAAUUUUAUUUUUCGAAUUUUAUGAAUAUUUUUAUGAUUUCGUUAAUUAAUAUUUUUCUAUAAUUUUUAACAUUAUAAAAAAGAAAUAGGAACGGGCUGAGACUCGGCCGCACUAAACCGACCCGGACCCUUUCGGUCCGGGUGGGACUAAGAACAUUUUUUAAAAGACGGCCCACUCAGCCCACUCACAAUUCCCUCAUAUUCACCAUCGGCCCACAAUAGCCCGAAGCCCACCAUGAAUGAAGCCCGUUUUCUCUUCUCUUUUCCACAAGCCCAGAUGAGGGUUUACUUCGUGGAACAGCACCCACCCAGAAACUUCAACAUCCCAUAUCAAUUUCAGAAUAAUUUUUUUAAAAAAAAUAGUACCCUUAUUAUCUCAUCUUAAACCAAGCAUAACAUAAUCCAUCAUCAUGCAUCUUAAACACAAGAAGAAGCACUUGGGCCGUGAGCAACAUAGUAAAUGAAGGAAGAAGAAUCCUAACCCAAUUCAGCCAAGUAAAGCCGACUCAUUGCUUCAGGGAAGGAAACCGAGCCGUCGAUUGGGCGUCUUCCCAUGUCCACCCUCUUCAGAAUAUACGGCGAAAGUGGCUGGCCGGGUAAGGCGAAAGGUGAGGGGAGUUCGUGAGCGUCCGAGAGCGUGGAAUUCAAAAGAAAAAGAGUGAUCUUCGAGUCCCCCUCGUGCUCUCACUGCUGGAUACGUGUAAAAUGGCAAGAAGUCAGUGUUAUAAUUGGACAGAACUCGAAAACCAAAGAAGGCAGAGAGGACUUGGCUUCGGUUUUGCUACUGGAACUGCAGGAAACGCAGAUGAUUCUUCUCUCGCAGCAGGCCGGGAACCUCCAUCGCCGGACCACCACCACCCGCUGGCCGUUCAGGAACUCCGUCGCCACAAUCGACACGAGCCGGCAGAGUGUAUGGUGCCUUUGUGUCGAGACCUGAACAGCAAAAGCACGGACUCGUCUCGUGGGUCGAUGUUGAGCGACUCGCAAGGGUUCAAGCUCAUCAGCAGGAGGACCUCAAAACGCGAUCAAAAUUUAGAUGUCAACACUAGACGUCGAUGUCGAGCGACUUGUUCAACACUUUGAAAUGGAGACAAAUUCUCUCGACCCCAGAUGAAUAGAUAAUUCUUUUUUCUUUUUCUUUUUUUUUAUGUCUCCUUUUUUAAUAAUAAUUUUUUGAUUUUUUUGAAUUUUUUUUUUGGAAAUUUUAAUAAUUAAUGCUAUGAAUGCAAAUAUCUCUAAUAUAAAGGUGAUGCAUGAAAAUUAUUUACUUCACCCUUUUCUUCUUACUAAUUAAUUUUUUAGUAAUAAUUUUUUAAUUUAAUUUAUAAAAAAUAAUAAUAGUAAUGCUAAUGUUCGUAACGUCUAUAUGUGAUGCAAUUUAAUGAAAAUUAAUUUUUACUUAUCAGUUAAAAAUUAAUUCUUAAUUUUCUACGUGAUAAAGUUCUUAAUAAAAUGACCAAAAUUUAGGUGUCAACACUAAACAAAAGCGCCACCUUGCAAGAGUGAUUAUUAUGCCCGCUUGACGCAAACUCCCUCUAGUUUCACAUCAGAAGAGUCGCGACAUGGAUCAUUCGAGGACUCUCCCAUCUGCUUUUUAGCAAAAGUAAAGAAACAAAGAAACAAAGAAAGAAAGACAACUGGCCUUUGGCAGAGUGAAGAGGAUUCGGAUUGGAGAUACUUGAAUUUAAUCUCGCCGAGAAUAAAGCAUCGUCGAAUCCGCUUAUUUGAAUUAAUCACAGAGCCACCGCAUCGAGAGCACCAUUUUCCCAUGCCACUAUGCAAAAUUGCAACAUAAUGGAGCAACAAACAAAGCAAAGAGGUUAUCGAAAUGCAAGCAAUUAACAAGCGCAAUUUAACGUGGUCGCUAUACAAAGACUUCCUACCUUCAUCUUUUCAAAUUAUUAGCUCUGUUUGUAAUGCCAGGGGAUGUCCCUAAGCUAUUGUACUUCAUUUGCUUAAUAAUACUUACAUUUUACACCCAAAAAAAUAAAGUAAGAAAUGUAUAAAACCAUACUCUGAUUGGUAGUAGCACAAUCCUUAUCAUACUGAUAGGAACGUAUAUGUAUCCAUCUGGGUAGAUUCUCGUGAAAACUGGUUCCACAAGUCUGAACUUCUAUGUGUAUACCAAACUAUUGAGUUCUUUCUGUGAUGGAACACUUAACAUUCUUAAAUAAUAAUAAAAAAUGAUAGAUAUAUUCGUGCAUGAUGGUCAAGCUUUCUGGCAUAACCAAAGCAUUUGGGUUAUAUUCGUGUGUGGAAAUGCAUUAACAGUCUUAAUUAGGGACCUAUAACUACCGUGAGAUUAGCAAUCCUCGUAAAAUUGCCUACUUCAACUAAGAAGACGACUAACUAAAUUGGUAACUAAACUCCUUUUGUAAUCGCAUUACCUUUUUUCUCCAUCUUGUGUUUUCUGCAGCAAAAAUUAGUUUUUGUUCUUGCCGUACUCCUAAUCAUCAAGGGAAACACCAAAGAAAAAAAAUUAAGAUAGAUAAGAAGCGCAGACAAGUCGUCAUCCCUGUUCUACACAUCUUCUUUCCUUUUAGUCACUCACUGACUGUUUUGCUUUGUCACUGUACUUGAUACGUCAUACAUGCUUCUUUUAUGGAACUUAAAAGGCAGUGAAACAGUAGAGAUGAGAGACAAAUCUAGUAGUGAAAAGUUAGAGAUUGACUAUAAUGAAAUAAGUGCAUGGUACGUUGAUGAAAUGAAACUUUGUACCAGGAGGAAAACUUCACUUAUAAUUUCUCCCAGUUGGUUAGCCAAGUCCUAAACCACCAAGGUGUGUUUAGAGGUCGAGACUAAAUUUUGCUUAUCUAACAUUCGUCAGCCAGAAUAGAUGCAGAAAAAUUGAAAAGUCACAUUACUCUAAAAUCUUUUAAAGUUAUCUCUAAAACAUCAUCAAUCACUAUAAUUAACAAUCAAAAGAGGAGUAAAACCGCAUAAUUAGAAGACUGCCAUAAGAAAUAAAAAUCCCAAUAAGGUAGUAAACAAUAACUAGGACAACCAAACAAAAUUAUUCAGACACUAUACUCUCUUGGUGAUUCUUAGCUAAGCUGAGAGAGAGAGAGAGAGAGAGAGAGAGAGAGAGGCUUUGGUUAGAGCUGUUUGUGGAACUUGAGCAUCAAAGUGCUAAAUUUAUAGUAUAAAAUUCAUGGCGAGCAACUUCGUCUGGUGAAGUCUCCCCCUCGCUUGAGAAGUUAAUCCAUAGUGCUUGAUAGAUUCCCACCUGUCCUUGUUUAUAAUAGACGCUUGACCCAUGCCAAGCAACUUUGUCUGGUGAAGUCCUCCCCUUGCUGGAGAAGUUAAUCAACAGUGCCUGAUGGAUCCCACAUCUAGCCUGGCUUAUUCCUUCCCUUUUGUCCUCUUUCCAGAAUUCUACAAGUCUGUGUUCACCUUCUUGAGGAAGUUUUAUAGCCAUCGCUAUCGUUUUUUAGUCUUGUGAAUGUCCUUUUCCACUCCUCUCCUUUUCUCUAUCCCUCCCCAUAUGUGGACAGAUUCCUCUUGUGGGGUCAUCCUGCCAAAAGAAAGGAGUAAAAGAUGGCAAUUUUAUGGGAUUGUUUUUCAAUCUUUUUCCCUUCUUAUUUGAUCAAUCACUGUAACACGCCUGUAUUUCCAAAAUCCUACUUUCAACACCACUCUAAUUUGGAGGGAACGCAAUAACACCGUGAGUUAAUUUUUUUAUAUCUCAAACAAAUAGGACCAGAUCUCCCCAAAUCACCAAUUAUUUCCCUUGAAUUGUCUCGCGGGACUUGAUAGAAUGAAAAGUCUCCCUAGCUAAAUACUUUCUAAUACCCCUGGAAAAAUAUUUUUGGUGAGAAUACAAUGACAAUUUGGUCGAAACUAGAGUGGUAUCAGCGUAAAUUAAUCUUAUUAAACGGUCAAGCCUGAAUAUGGUCUCUAACUUGCACUGUUCCUUCAGCAUUGUCUUUUCAUCUUCUUUCUUGUGCAAUUGAGUCAUUCUAUCUGUUCCGUCAAGAUUUAUCAUCAAUAGCCAUUAGUAACAGCGCUAUAAUGCUCUGCUGGCGUGACUAAUAGUCUCACAUGGUGGGUGGGUGGGUGUGAGUCUGUGAGAGAGAGAGAGAGAGAGAGAGAGGCCAUUAUGUUGGAAAUCCUCUAGUGAACUGUCAUCUAUACUAGGACAUUUCUAGUUUGCAAAUAAUUCAGGUUAUUGUUACAUAUAUGAGAACAUACCGCAGGGGACCUUGUCUUAAUGAACCAAAUGUUUAUGGCCCUUCUCACAUCAUAAAUGAUGUUUUGGAUUUUGCUGGGCAGCUUGACAUAGGUCACUGGUGUACCGAAUGUCCCUAAAUAAAAGCUUUCCCCUAUUUCUCGCUCUUAAAAUUCAGUGUCUGUUGAAAUGUAUUCUCAGUCCUCAUUUGUUGUUCUUGGUGUUCUGAGUACAUGUGCGUGAUUCUAGGAAGACUCAGAUUUAACUUCUUAUAAAGUAGGAUUUGCCCUAUGUAGACUGAUUAGUUUGCAUGCUGUGUUCAUGGACCGCGCCCACAAAAAGAACCCAUCUCAUGUGAUCGAUCCUUUGUUGAGUUUGUAACUAAAGAAAUACAUGGACUGAUGGACUGAAAGUCAACUUUAAAGGAGACAUCGCUGUGGCAACUUGUUGAUUCUUCGCGUUAUAUACAGCAGAGAGCGAAGAAAGUAAAUUACAGAGCAGUCUCACAUCUAGUGAGAUAUUCAAAUUCCGUUAAUGCAAAAAGAAGUACAAAGCAUUAGCAUCAAAAGGAAGACAAGCUACAUACACACGAAUUGUGACAUGACGUACAAAAUUUUGACAAUCGUACUUGUCAAUGAUACUGCAUCACACUCAGGGCAAAAUAGCAGUGAAAAUCAUAAAUCAAAUACUUGGCAGGUGAAGGUAAGAGGCGACCAACAGGAGAAUCCCGACGAGCAGGUUCACAAGAUUACGCAGGGGAGGAUUUGUUGAACUUUUUGUGCUCUCGGUGGAUGGUCUGGUCGAUGCAGUCACAGAAUUUGAAUUCUCUACGGCAUGUUCAAUCUCGCUGCUGUUUGUCUUCCUCGGUGAAUUACUGGCUGAACCGUGCUCUGUGUAUUUUAGUACCUGCCAACAUAAAGUAUUUCAAAUAGGUGAUGUGAAAAGGAAAAGGAAAGUAAGGAUUAACAAGGUCUAAAAAUUGAAGAAUUUUCCUAGUUUUUCUAUUGAUUUUCCGAAAAAAAAUGGAGCACGCCAAUCAAACUAAAUGGUCCAAUGAUGCACAUCGAGACUGGAAGACAAUAGAAAGACAAAAUCUGUUCAACUGGGAGCUUCUUUCACCUUCGCUUUAGCUGCAUGUUCAUCCAGAGAAACACAUUCUGUCUUAACAUUUCUCAAUGCAAUUCCCUGCUUCUUAAACUUUUCAAGCCUUGGUUCCUCAUUGAUAUAAAUUCUUGGAGACUCGGGAAUUUCUGGACUCUUGGGCUCUUUCAGAAGCUCUAUAGAUUUGGUGGAGGAAACAUGUGAGCUGUUGAAUUUACUCUGCAUGAAACCUUCCUUUUGCUCGAAAGGAACAAUACCAUGGAGUGACUCAAAUGUUUGCAUUUUGCUAUUCUCCAUUUCAGAUAUUUGGCCAUUCUGCGACAAAGCAUUGCAUAAGAUCAAAUGCGUUAACAGAAAUAACUGAGGCAUUAUUUUAAUCUCCUGACAAAACAUUCAUGUUUUUGUUCUCAAAAUUGUCCGGAUGCUUACAUAAUAUACCUUUUAGUCAUCUACUAUAACCGUCUUCGAUAUCUCGGCUGCAACUUCUUUCUAUAUAUAUUUUCUGCUAGUGGUUCUCCACCAUUCUAAUUAAGUUGAAUCAAAGUUUAUACAUUUUCAUUCAUUUGAUCGUUUCGAGGAUCUACAAGCAAUUCAGAGUGGGAUUUUACUUCCCUUUGGCAGAAGAAUGCUAGAAUCAAUUUCAUGUAUUGCUCGAAGCGGAUUUUAACAAAAUUAACCGUUCUCUUAAGUGCCUAUGAACCACAUAUCCAACAUAGUUCGCUGCAAUGAAUAAUGGAAUCCCUACCAUCUAAUUAACUAUCCAAGCAAUGCCUUUAAUGCAUAAGAGUAGUAAUAAGACAAUGGGUUAGUUUAGGAGCUGCUUUCACCUUUGCUCUGGCUGCUGUUUCAUCCAAAUAUACGCAUUCUGGUUUGAUACUUUUGGCUGCAGUUUCCUGCUUAAACUUUCCAAACCUUGGCUCUUCAUGAUAAUUUAUACUUGCAGCGCAUACAGGAGGCGCCAUAGGUUUCUCAGGGGUGACAAGUGAGCCGUUAAACUUAUUCUCCACCAGGCCUUUCUUUUCUUCAAGAGGAACAACACCGUGAAACGAGUCAAUUGUUCGUGUUCACCGAUUCUCCAUUAGAACAGGAUGCUCACUAUGCUGGUUAGAUGUUUGCCCAUGCUGCAGCAACAGAUUGCAUUAGAUAAAAUGAAUCAGAAGAAAUAACAGGCAUAAACGAAAUUUCAUAACAGCACUUCAAGACUCAGCAUGAGUAACGCAUCAUGGAAGUCCACUUUUCUUUUUCCGUAGAUAGAUUCUAUAAUGAACUUUCUGUUCUACAACGAUGAUUGAAAAAAAAAUUAUCCUUCUUUUUCAGAUAACAUGGAAAAGGGAAGUGCCCUUCCAAUGCAUUAUAAACCACUUUUACUCCUAAAUUUACAAGAAAAGUAAUCACAACAACCCAAUGAAAUUUUAAGGGAGAAAUUUUGACCCGUGUUUGCAUUUGGUCUCCAUCAAAGAAGUCGGCAUCAAAAAGAUCUGCAUUUAGCAUGUCACGAACAUAUUCAUCCUCUUCAGAAACAUCUGCAAUUAGCAUGUCCCCAGCAUCUCCAUCCUCUUCAGAAACAUCCUCUUCAGAAAGACCUGCAAUAAACAUGUCACCAGCAUCUUCAUCCUCGUCACUUGUUGUGAACCAACCAUUGUCCAAUGAGAAGUUUGCAAAAGGAUUCUCAGCAUUCAUAAACUGAUGUAUGUUGGAGGGGAAUCUAUUAUUUUGUGAUUGCAGUGCAGACUGAGGCAGCUGCAGGAGGUCAGGCAAAGCAAAUUGAACUUAGUUCUGGGGCAGAGACGAGACCUCCAUCAGUGACAUCAUCUUUGCUUGGAUCAAAUCCUGUAUUAACGAGCAAAAGAUUAGUCAUUAACACAUUUCCCAUGCUCGUUAAGACAGAUAUUAAGUACACGAACCAAACAUAUUUUCCUCCGCACCUCAGUAAACGAGUCCUCGUGAUCUGGUUGACGAAGAAUUGAAUCCAAAUUUUCUAGGCCACUGGCUUCGUACACUAAUUCCAUGGUUGAAUUAUCAGCCUUCUCAUCUCCUUUAUUCUUUAUGCGACACAGAACAUAGUUUCUAUUCAACUGUCAAAAGACCAUUUUAUACCAGUUCAUACCAUCAGAUCAUGUUUUCUUCAACAGUAAAAUUCUGCUCACAAAUUUGGCAAGAAUAAUAACAAUCUCUAUAUCUGUGUAAGAUGGCAAUCUCAUAUCGUAUAUUAUCAGGUUCAUGCAUCGUGUUAAUCUAAUUAAAUGGAAAAAACGUACAAGGGACAGAUUGAGUACAUUUUUUAUGAGUAGAUGAUAUUCAUGUAUGACCCAGUUGGUCUUGACGCCUUUAGAGCCCUGACGUGUAUGGAAAACUAAUGUUUUCUUAGUGCCGAUUUUGAUAUCUCUGGCCUUGACAUUCCGGUCUGGACCAGUCUUCUUCCAAUAGCCAGAGGGGGUCGAUCCUUUAACCUGUUGGGGUGUUUGCAGACAGUAGAACUACCACUCUUGUACUUUGUCAUCCGGACGAAUAAUUGAUUCACCUGUCAUUCCCUCGAAUUUUCACCGAUUGAUGAUAAAUAUUAUGACCCAAAAGCCCAUAAACUUGAGGUUCUAAAUUUCUGAAUAUCAUGGCUGCAAAGAAAUUGUAUCAAAGGAGCAAGCAAAGUCAUAGUGGUAUCUGUCCUCACCAUGAAACUUCUGUGGUAAUUCCCAAGGAUCCCACCUGUAGAUGUCAACAUCUGGAAUUAUGCAGGGAUCCUCUACGAUUCCUAAGACUCGGUUCGUCAAGUAAUGAUCGACGAAUUCCUCGUCAGUUGGAUGGAAUCUGUAUCCGAUGGGCAAAUUCUGUGGGAUGAUCACAACUCCCAUCUCCUUCCGUUCUGUUCUUCACUCAACACACAAGUUAGUAACGAACUCACUACAGUUUGUGGAAGCAGAAAAGUGAGCGUGAACCCAUUACCAUUUGGGAGGGUCUUUCUUGAAGUCUUCCCUUCUUUGGGAAGUUAACAACUUUUUGUAUGUGGAUGUCAGAAAAAUCUUGAUCGUGAUUGAUGGCUGAUGGGGAUGGUUUUUCGUCUGCUUUUUCUUGGGCUGAUGGAUCCCGUCACUAGAAUGGAACUAAUAUUACUUUCCCCUCGUACUGAAAUUUGCACUGUUUUCUCACAUGGCAAUGACAAUAUCCAGGAAAUUCUCGGGAUUUGCUCCUGUGACGAGUCCUUAGUGUCGCCUCUAAUUACAACUGGAGAUUUUUCUAUUCAUUUUACUAAGGUGUAGGUGCAUUGAAAAUUUUAAAACUUGUCAUGUAAAUGUAAUUUAAUCAUAAAAUUUUGAAAAAGUGUAAUUAAAUCCUAAAAUUUAUCAUGAAAGUGUAAUCGAGUCUUAAAACUUUUUUAAAAUUCAAUCAAGUCUUAAACUUAUCAAAAUGAUACAAUCAAGUCCUUAGAUUGAUUUCAUUUUUUAAAAAAAAUUUAGGACUUAAUUGCACUUUUUGAAAUAUUUAAUACUUGAUUGCACUUUCAUAAUAAAUUUUAGAACUUAAUUUGUACUUUUUAAAAGUUUUAGAACUCAAUCACACUUUUAUGACAAGUUUUAAGACUUUAGUACACUUUCUCUCUUUACCAAUAACAUAGUGGGAGUUUGAGUUAAAAUCAACCUGCUAAUGGUCAGUUAACAUAAGGGCUGUCCAUGCACAUGUGCAUCUUCUUUAAAUAACGAAGGUGCACUCUACCUGGUCUCUUUAUGUACCAAUGUACCUGUUGGUUUAUUACCAAUUAUUUUGUGUUAGCAAGUUGGGGUUAUUUGUGUAAUUGUACAAGGCUUAACUCUAAACCUAUAAUUGUACAAGUAUUAUUUCUUUUACCAACAACAUAAUAUCAGAGCAUGACAUUCCUACGUGAGAGAAGACAACAAGCUUCAGUUCUCCUGGUAAGCUGCACCAAGGCGUCAUUUUUGCUCUUUCUAUCCAAGGCAUCGUUUUUUUUUCUUUUUUUCGCCCCUUCUACUGCUGAUUGGUGAUGCCUCCAAUCGAGCAGCGCUGCUUCGUCUGCUGCACUACAAUGAUCUGCUCCUUUACCUUUGUUUCAUCAUUGACAACAAAGCUACUGUCCCAUUGACGUCAAUGCCUUAAAAAGCUAUUUUUCCUAAAUUGUUCCAUUGACGUCAACGCCCCCACUUCAGCCCGACGAUGUGUUUUGGUUGGUUUUGAGUUGUUAGUGGCGAUGUGAUAAUUAGAUCACAAAGUUGUGGUGAUUCGGGUGAGAUUCUUCUAUGUUUGUGGUGUUAUCAUUGUGGUUCCUAUCUAGUCAAAUGUGUUUAAUAUAGUCCACUAACAAUAAGUUUGAAAAGCAAAGGUUUCUUUGAAUCUCACCCUCUAGUGCUCUCAAUGGUGUUGUGGUAGCGUGUGGUGUUUUAUUCUUGGUUUGUGGAUAAGUCCACAGGUCAACAAGCUCUCCAUCUAUUGUUUCAGCGGUGAUUCCCCUAAUGUGACUUCUAGCUCAAGAUCUUUUGGUACCUAUUAUAGUGGUACUCAUGAUAUGACAGGCUUACACACUACCUUGGUUGAAGACCCAAUGGCUGCUUCCUCGUACAAUAAUCGCUUGAUAUCAAAUUGAGAAUAGUAAAGUGAAAAACAGAAUUAUUGAAUUUUUUUUAUAUAUUUUGAUAUAUGUUGAAAAACAAAACAUGAGCUUGUUUUUAAAAUAUACAGUUUCCUGAUGAUCCUUCUCUAACCUUGGUUCUUCAUCCCUCUGAACUUCGGUAUAAGAGGGAUUUUCAAUAAUCAAUGAGGCAGCCCAAUCAUCGCAUUCAGUUUGUCCGAGCGAAGAUUCCAGUUCGAUAGAUUUAUCAGGCUCUUCACCAUUCUGAACCUCGGCAUUGGAAAGAUCUGCAUUUGGCACUGCAUCAAC
rnacentral:lncRNA from 1 species